rnacentral:rRNA from 1 species
GAUGAACGCUGGCGGCGUGCCUAAUACAUGCAAGUCGAGCGAAUGGAUUAAGAGCUUGCUCUUAUGAAGUUAGCGGCGGACGGGUGAGUAACACGUGGGUAACCUGCCCAUAAGACUGGGAUAACUCCGGGAAACCGGGGCUAAUACCGGAUAACAUUUUGAACCGCAUGGUUCGAAAUUGAAAGGCGGCUUCGGCUGUCACUUAUGGAUGGACCCGCGUCGCAUUAGCUAGUUGGUGAGGUAACGGCUCACCAAGGCAACGAUGCGUAGCCGACCUGAGAGGGUGAUCGGCCACACUGGGACUGAGACACGGCCCAGACUCCUACGGGAGGCAGCAGUAGGGAAUCUUCCGCAAUGGACGAAAGUCUGACGGAGCAACGCCGCGUGAGUGAUGAAGGCUUUCGGGUCGUAAAACUCUGUUGUUAGGGAAGAACAAGUGCUAGUUGAAUAAGCUGGCACCUUGACGGUACCUAACCAGAAAGCCACGGCUAACUACGUGCCAGCCGCCGCAUAAG